UUUCUCCGCAAUUCAAAAUUGAGAGUUUGUAUACUAGAAUGGUAAUUACUAAUUUGGAGUGUUUUGUGUGUAUUCUAAUUUUGUUUGAAGACCUACCUGAAGCUCUAUUUACGUUGAUACAAAAAUUUAAUUAGAUAUUUGAGGAAUAAUUUUCUUGUGUUGAUGAUACAUUUGUUUUUGAACCAUUGUGUUAUGUGUAGUUGAUAUAUUGAUACAUUUGAUUAAAUGAAACACGAUGUUGACUUUCGUUGUUAACUACUAAUAAAAGAACACGAUUUAUCUAACAUCAUCGCAUGGCAUAUAACUACCAAUUUUGAUUGCUAUAUAUACGCACACGAUUUUUUUUUUUUUUUUGUAGCUUGUUCAGUUUAAUCAGGUGAACGUUGAAAAUUGAUAGACGUUAGUAAAAUGAAAAGAUGACAACAAAAUGGUCAUAAAUCACUGUAAUUAGGGGAUCUCGACCUUUUUUGUUUUCCCUAACAAAGGAGAUUAUCUCGAAUAUUUAGUGGUUUACGGUGAAAGCAGACAUUAACCUAUUAUACUUUUGAAAAUCUUGCACAAAACGACACCGACCCGUCAAUUUUUAAUUCGUAUCGUCCUAAAAGAUAAUUAAAUAUCUAAAUAAAGCUCCUAGUUCUUAUACACAACCCGUGUUUAUAUCUACGAAGUUUCCCUUUAAAGUACGUGUUUGCAUAAUGUGAAUGGGCGAAUUGAUAAUUUGAUAGGACAAUACUAUACAGUCGGCUGCACAUAAAAGCCUUGCGUCGCGUUCGACCAAUUUUUUUCCACAUACGCAUCGUGACACCACCAUUCUCAUUUACACCCAAUUCUCGUGCUUGCCGAGUGGUUCAAUUUCACACCAUUUAAUGAUUUUAAUCUCGAAAAUUAAACCGCAAUUUAC
rnacentral:lncRNA from 1 species